GCCCGGGUGGCUUAGUCUGGUCAUAGCGCCGCACUCAUAGGGUUCCGAGAUUCGGUGCGGCAGCCAUUCGGUGGCUGUGCGUGUCCCCCGAGGCCCGCCGAGCCUCGAACCUGGGACAUGCGGAGGCCGAGGGUUCGAACCCCUCCCCGGGCA
rnacentral:tRNA from 2 species